AGGAGCUUAGGAUAACAUUAGUCCAAGAGCCUUCAAAGCUCUCAGUGAGAGUUAAAAUCUCCCAGCUCCUG
rnacentral:tRNA from 1 species